rnacentral:rRNA from 1 species
CACGUAGGGGGCGAGCGUUGUCCGGAUUUAUUGGGCGUAAAGAGCUCGUAGGCGGUUUGGCAAGUCGGGUGUGAAAUUUCGAGACUCAACCUCGAAACGCCACUCGAUACUGCCAUGACUGGAGUCCGGUAGAGGAGUGCGGAAUUCCUGGUGUAGCGGUGAAAUGCGCAGAUAUCAGGAGGAACACCGGUGGCGAAGGCGGGUCUCUGGGCAACAACUGACGCUGAGGAGCGAAAGCGUGGGGAGCGAACAGG